GGUAUAGGGAGAGUUUAUAUGUAAAUUAUUAUAGAAAUGUUUGAUAAGUUGUAAGUAUAAAGGUUUAUGUAGAAAUUAAAUUGUUUGUUUAUGUGGUAUUAAGGGUAUAGAUAAAAUGUUGUGUAGGGAACUGUGAAGGAUAAAGUAUUUAAUUUUUUUUGUAGUAGAUUAAUAAUUCGUACCUUUUGUAUAAUGGGUUGAUGAUAUAUUAAUUUUUAUAUAAAUUGUUCUCGAAUUGAAAAGAUUUAUCUAAUAUAUGGCGUGUUAACGUUGUAGAGUUAUACGAUUAAUAUUAGGUGGUAAUGAAAUGUUUAUCGAUUUUCACGAUAGCUAGUUUAUUGAUUAGGGAUAUUUAAGUAUCGUAUUAUUAAAAUAAUUUUGUUUAUUUAAUAUUAUUUGUAUCAUAAGGGAUAAGCUUUAUGUUAAUUAUAGAAUAAAUUGUAUUUAAUUAUAAUUAAAGUAGAGUUAAUAAUGCUUUUCUUUAUAAGUAGUUUAGAUACCUAAUUUAAAUUAUUUCAAGUAUAUAGUCAUAAAUGUUUAUAAAUUAGUUUUAAGUAAAUAUAAUGUUAACAUGAGUAUUGGUUAAAUUAUAAAUUUAAUUGUUUUAAUUGUAAAUAAGUGUUGUUUUUUAUUAAAAUGAAGUAAGAUAAAGGAAUUCGGCAAAUGUUAAUCUCGCCUGUUUAUCAAAAACAUGUCUCUUUGUGUGUUAUAAAUAAAGAGUUGGGCCUGCUCGGUGAUAAAAUUUAACAGCUGCGGUAUUUUAACUGUACUAAGGUAGCAUAAUAGUUUGCCUUAUAAUUUGAGGCUGGAAUGAAUGGUUUGACGAAGGUUAAUCUGUCUCUAUCUUAUUUAAUAGAAAUUAAUUUUUAAAGUGAAAAAGCUUAAAUUUUUUAAAGGGACGAGAAGACCCUAUUGAGCUUAUAAUUUUAGUUUGAUUAUGUUAGAUAAUAUAACAUGAAUUUUAAUUGGGGUGAUUAAGGAAUAAGGUAAAUAGAUAAUGUAGUAACUUCCUUAAAAUUAAAAUGUAUAUUUAUGAAUAAACCAAUUAUUUUAUUGCUUAUAAUAUAGUUACCAUAGGGAUAACAGCGUAAUUUAUUUAGAGAGUUCUUAUUAAAAAAUAAGAUUGCGACCUCGAUGUUGGAUUAAAGUAACCUUAGGGUGUAGAAGCUCUAAUUGGUAAAUCUGUUCGAUUUUUAAAACUUUACAUGAUCUGAGUUCAGACCGGCGUGAGCCAGGUUGGUUUCUAUCUUUUAAAAUGUAGGUAGCUUCUUUUAGUACGAAAGGACCGAAGAUAGCUAAAUUAUUAAUUAUAAUAUUAAUAUAUUUAAAUAAAAGUUAAUGAGGGUUAGUUAAUUAGGGUUAUAUUAAUUAUAUAAA
rnacentral:rRNA from 1 species